GCAUCGGUGGUUUAGUGGUAAAAGUCCGAAACCCUAUCUCUAAUUGGUCAAUAACAUACUAACAAUUAUUCUAGUUAGCCGUUGCCAUUAGCGCAACAUCGGCUAGCCCCGGGUUCGAUUCCCGGCCGAUGCA